GACGAACGCUGGCGGCGUGCUUAACACAUGCAAGUCGAACGGAAAGGCCCUGCUUUUGUGGGGUGCUCGAGUGGCGAACGGGUGAGUAACACGUGAGUAACCUGCCCUUGACUUUGGGAUAACUUCAGGAAACUGGGGCUAAUACCGGAUAGGAGCUCCUGCUGCAUGGUGGGGGUUGGAAAGUUUCGGCGGUUGGGGAUGGACUCGCGGCUUAUCAGCUUGUUUGUGGGGUAGUGGCUUACCAAGGCUUUGACGGGUAGCCGGCCUGAGAGGGUGACCGGCAACAUUGGGACUGAGAUACGGCCCAGACGCCAACGGGAGGCAGCAGUGGGGAAUAUUGCAAAAUGGGCGGAAGCCUGAUGCAGCAACGCCGCGUGCGGGAUGACGGCCUUCGGGUUGUAAACCGCUUUCGCCUGUGACGAAGCGUGAGUGACGGUAAUGGGUAAAGAAGCACCGGCUAACUACGUG
rnacentral:rRNA from 1 species